CCUACGGGGAGGCAGCAGUGGGGAAUAUUGGACAAUGGGCGAAAGCCUGAUCCAGCCAUGCCGCGUGUGUGAAGAAGGCCUUCGGGUUGUAAAGCACUUUCAGUGGGGAAGAAAGCCUUGGGGCUAAUACCCUCGAGGAAGGACAUCACCCACAGAAGAAGCACCGGCUAACUCCGUGCCAGCAGCCGCGGUAAUACGGAGGGUGCGAGCGUUAAUCGGAAUUACUGGGCGUAAAGCGCGCGUAGGCGGUCUGAUAAGCCGGUUGUGAAAGCCCCGGGCUCAACCUGGGAACGGCAUCCGGAACUGUCAGGCUAGAGUGCAGGAGAGGAAGGUAGAAUUCCCGGUGUAGCAGUGAAAUGCGUAGAGAUCGGGAGGAAUACCAGUGGCGAAGGCGGCCUUCUGGACUGACACUGACGCUGAGGUGCGAAAGCGUGGGUAGCAAACAGGAUUAGAUACCCCUGUAGUC
rnacentral:rRNA from 1 species